rnacentral:rRNA from 1 species
GGAAUAUUGCACAAUGGGCGCAAGCCUGAUGCAGCGACGCCGCGUGCGGGAUGACGGCCUUAGGGUUGUAAACCGCUUUCAGCAGGGACGAAAUUGACGGUACCUGCAGAAGAAGCCCCGGCCAACUACGUGCCAGCAGCCGCGGUAAUACGUAGGGGGCAAGCGUUGUCCGGAUUUAUUGGGCGUAAAGAGCUCGUAGGCGGUCUGGUAAGUCGGAUGUGAAAUCUCCACGCUUAACGUGGAGGGGUCAUUCGAAACUGCCAUGGCUAGAGUUUGGUAGAGGAGUGCGGAACUCCCGGUGUAGCGGUGAAAUGCGCAGAUAUCGGGAAGAACACCCGUAGCGAAGGCGGCACUCUGGGCCAAUACUGACGCUGAGGAGCGAAAGCGUGGGGAGCAAACAGGAUUAGAUACCCUGGUAGUCCACGCCGUAAACGUUGGGCACUAGGUGUGGGACUCUAUCGACGGGUUCCGUGCCGUAGCUAACGCAUUAAGUGCCCCGCCUGGGGAGUACGGCCGCAAGGCUAAAACUCAAAGGAAUUGACGG